rnacentral:rRNA from 1 species
UACGUAGGGCGCAAGCGUUAUCCGGAAUUAUUGGGCGUAAAGAGCUCGUAGGCGGUUUGUCGCGUCUGCCGUGAAAGUCCGGGGCUCAACUCCGGAUCUGCGGUGGGUACGGGCAGACUAGAGUGAUGUAGGGGAGACUGGAAUUCCUGGUGUAGCGGUGAAAAUGCGCAGAUAUCAGGAGGAACACCGGCGGCGAAGGCGGGACUCUGGGCCGAUACUGACGCUGAGGAGCGAAAGCUGGGGAGCAACAGG